rnacentral:lncRNA from 1 species
UUGAUCAUAACCUUCUACUUCCAAUUCUACAUUGAAACUUGAUUCCUAUCAAUUACAUUAUACACUCAUAGUUUGAGUUAUGCUCCCUUCAUCCUCUUUAAUCAAUCUCCCUUCAACUAUUUAUGAUAGCAAUAUUAAAAUUCCAUGACAUCAACCACUCAGCUAAUGUUAAUCUCCAUUGUAACAGUCGUGACAAAAGUAAUUCAUCUUGUAGUUUGUUCCUAUUCUGAGCAUAACAGAUCAAAAUCUAAAUAAUUCAAAAUAUAGAAAAUUGUAAAUGUCACGUGCAGACAAAAUGUAGAAAACCAGUUGAAAGAAUGUAGAAAACUAUAAUGCUUGGUCUAACUAAGGAUAAGCAUUCGAUGAACCCAAUCUGAGUACAACUCCAAAUUAAGACAUCAGCAACCGUUGAACCUCGCAAAAGUUUUAGAAACAAAAUAAGGUUUACAAAUUUACAAAGUAAAAGGAAACAUUAAAUUAGGCGCAAUGAGUCUGAAAUUUUGUAAGUUUCAGUUCAAUGCUUAUAUGAUUGAAUCCAGAUUUCAAAAUACACAAACAUGAUAAUGAAUAUGGCAGUCUUUGUAAUUCAAUGCGGUUUUCAUUUC